GCCGGACCUGACUGCUAUCGGAUUGAUACUAAGCCAUGCGAGUCAUUGUAGCAAUACAAGGCAUACGGCUCAGUAACGCGUAGUCAACCUAACCUAUGGACGGGAAUAACCUCGGGAAACUGAGAAUAAUGCCCGAUAGAACAUUAUACCUGGAAUGGUUUAUGUUCCAAAUGAUUUAUCGCCGUAGGAUGGGACUGCGGCCUAUCAGUUUGUUGGUGAGGUAAUGGCCCACCAAGACUAUUACAGGUACGGGCUCUGAGAGGAGUAGCCCGGAGAUGGGUACUGAGACACGGACCCAGGCCCUAUGGGGCGCAGCAGGCGAGAAAACUUUGCAAUGUGCGAAAGCACGACAAGGUUAAUCCGAGUGAUUUCUGCUAAAGAAAUCUUUUGUUAGUCCUAGAAGCACUAACGAAUAAGGGGUGGGCAAGUUCUGGUGUCAGCCGCCGCGGUAAAACCAGCACCUCAAGUGGUCAGGAUGAUUAUUGGGCCUAAAGCAUCCGUAGCCGGCUCUGUAAGUUUUCGGUUAAAUCUGUACGCUUAACGUACAGGCCGCCGGGAAUACUGCAAAGCUAGGGAGUGGGAGAAGUAGACGGUACUCGGUAGGAAGUGGUAAAAUGCUUUGAUCUAUCGAUGACCACCUGUGGCGAAGGCGGUCUACUAGAACACGUCCGACGGUGAGGGAUGAAAGCUGGGGGAGCAAACCGGAUUAGAUACCCGGGUAGUCCCAGCUGUAAACUAUGCAAACUCAGUGAUGCAUUGGCUUGUGGCCAAUGCAGUGCUGCAGGGAAGCCGUUAAGUUUGCCGCCUGGGAAGUACGUACGCAAGUAUGAAACUUAAAGGAAUUGGCGGGGGAGCACCACAAGGGGUGAAGCCUGCGGUUCAAUUGGAUUCAACGCCGGG
rnacentral:rRNA from 1 species